GGGGCCGUCGUCUAGCUUGGCAGGAUGCGGGGCUUGGGACCGCUCCAGGGCUAGGCGCAGGGCCCUGGACGGCAGGAUCCCCCGUGGUCCCGGGUUCAAAUCCCGGCGGCCCCA
rnacentral:tRNA from 1 species